GCAUUUACUGUAUGUUAUAAAGCAAUGUAUUACUCUAGCAAUGUACAAAGUUACACUUCCACCAGUCCCACAGGACUUUUCAUAUUUCAUAAUCUUUUUGUUUUUUAUGGGGACCUUCUAUUUUCUUGAAUGUCUCCUUUUCAUUUUGAUUCAAAUCUAUUUAUUAGUCAAUUAUGCGGGAGGAUGAAUAAACGUCAGUUUACUCAUCUUUGUGUCCUUUCCAGAGCCUGGCCUGGAGCUCAUGCUCCAGAAAUACUCAUUGAAUAGCAUUAACCUGUGGUUGAGUCAAGAACGGUUGAUACAGGGUUGACUAUCCUGAUUCUUCUGUUCAAGAGGAGGCUCUCCUCACUCUGUGCUUUAACUUUGUAGUUGAUAUAAAUGGUUUCUUUUUUCACAUAUUUCUGUAAUAUAUGAAGACUUUCUGAUUUCCAGAUCUUAAAGGCAUUACGAAUCUACUGAAUUUCAAAAGGUACUUUAUACAAGUACUUUCUAAGAGCUACGUAGAGAAGGAUUUUGGUUUUUGUUGUUCUUUGUAACAAAAGGACCUUGUGCUGACACGCGGUGGUCUGAUUCAUUGGCCAAGGCCCAGUGGGAAGGUGGGCACGGAUCCUUUCCUGUUCUCUUCAUCUCUGCUGUCAUUACCUACUCUGGACAGACCAGCUGCUCCCUGUCUUUCAUCAGCUGUUGGGCUCCUUUCAGGUUUUUAUAACCUAUGCUGUGGUGAGAUAAACAAAUAGGGCAGAGGAGAUGGCUUGCUGUCCAUUGAUCGCCUUCAAGGCCAUUGCCCACAGUGACAGCUCCGGUCUCUCUUCGCCUGUGGGCCCUCUUCCUGUGACUCUUCAGGCAUGCUGGGGAGUGUAUAGACAGCUUUCCCCUUUGGUCUGUACCCACUAGGAUGCCUGGAUUAUCAGGGGAUGGAGUAUCUGUUUUAAUGCAGAAAAAGAAUUCUGCCUCCAGUCUCCCAGCAACAUUAUCUGCCUUGAAUUAGAUAGAAUUUGCACAUUUCAUUAUCACCGUUUGUUGGGAUGGUCCGGCUCAGACAACACAGCCUGGCCUGCAAUUUGGGCUCAGAAAAUACUUCUAAAGAGGACCGAGGCAAUGUGGUGGCAGUGCUGGCCAGGUAGAAGGAGCAAAGAAACCAUCCUGCUGUCUGUGGGUUUCACUGAGGAGGGGACACAUCCUUCCCCACGCAGAAUGAUCAACACAGAGGAGCCGCGUGAUAAUAUGAGAGAGAAAUCUCAGGAUUUUGACGACCAGCUAUCACCUUUGUGUCUAUGACUGUGUUGGCAUCAAGGAGUCCCCAAUGUCAAAGUGACAACCAUCAUCAUAUUCUCAUGCCAACUAUAAAACUUUCCUUCUUCAGAGAAGAGUAACCAAUGAAAUCCAUUUUCACAAGAACCUACUCAAUAAAUUAAAGGUUUAAUUUGAGAUGAAAACAACAAU
rnacentral:lncRNA from 1 species